rnacentral:rRNA from 1 species
CAGUCGCCACGGUAAUACGGAGGGUGCAAGCGUUAAUCGGAAUUACUGGGCGUAAAGCGCACGCAGGCGGUCUGACAAGUCAGAUGUGAAAUCCCCGGGCUCAACCUGGGAACUGCAUUUGAGACUGUAUAGCUAGAGUACGGUAGAGGGGGAUGGAAUUCCGCGUGUAGCAGUGAAAUGCGUAGAUAUGCGGAGGAACACCGAUGGCGAAGGCAAUCCCCUGGACCUGUACUGACGCCCAUGCACGAAAGCGUGGGGAGCAAACAGGAUUAGAUACCCCUGUAGUCCCUGUCUCUUAUAC